rnacentral:rRNA from 1 species
GGGGCGGCGGCAGGCCUACACAUGCAAGUCGAGCGGUAGCACAGAGAGUCUGUGCUCUCGAGGUUGACGAGCGGCGGACGGGUGAGUAAUGUCUGGCAGACUGCCUGAUGGAGGGGGAUAACUACUGGAAACGGUAGCUAAUACCGCAUAAUGUCGCAAGACCAAAGUGGGGGACCUUCGGGCCUCAUGCCAUCAAAUGUGCCCAGAUGGGAUUAGCUAGUAGGUGGGGUAACGGCUCACCUAGGCAACGAUCCCUAGCUGGUCUGAGAGGAUGACCAGCCACACUGGAACUGAGACACGGUCCAGACUCCUACGGGAGGCAGCAGUGGGGAAUAUUGCACAAUGGGCGCAAGCCUGAUGCAGCCAUGCCGCGUGUGUGAAGAAGGCCUUCGGGUUGUAAAGCACUUUCAGCGGGGAGGAAGGCGAUAAGGUUAAUAACCUUGUCGAUUGACGUUACCCGCAAAAGAAGCACCGGCUAACUCCGUGCCAGCAGCCGCGGUAAUACGGAGGGUGCAAGCGUUAAUCGGAAUUACUGGGCGUAAAGCGCACGCAGGCGGUCUGUCAAGUCGGAUGUGAAAUCCCCGGGCUCAACCUGGGAACUGCAUUCGAAACUGGCAGGCUAGAGUCUUGUAGAGGGGGGUAGAAUUCCAGGUGUAGCGGUGAAAUGCGUAGAGAUCUGGAGGAAUACCGGUGGCGAAGGCGGCCCCCUGGACAAAGACUGACGCUCAGGUGCGAAAGCGUGGGGAGCAAACAGGAUUAGAUACGCUGGUAGUCCACGCCGUAGACGAUGUCGAUUUGGAGGUUGUGCCCUUGAGGCGUGGCUUCCGGAGCUAACGCGUUAAAUCGACCGCCUGGGGAGUACGGCCGCAAGGUUAAGACUCAAAUGAAUUGACGGGCGCCCGCACAAGCGGUGGAGCAUGUGUUUUAAUUCGAUGCAACGCGGAAGAACCUUACCUGGUCUUGACAUCCACAGAACUUACCAAAAAUGCUUUGGUGCCUUCGGGAAACUGUGAAACAGGUGCUGCAUGGCUGUCAUCAGCUCGUGUUGUGAAAUGUUGGGUUAAUUCCGCCAACGAGCCCCACCCUUAUUCUUUGUUUGCCACCGGUUAGGCCGGGAAUUCAAAGGGAAACUGCCGGGGAAAACCUGGAAGAAAGGGGGGGAAGAAAAUCA